rnacentral:lncRNA from 1 species
GCUACCUACUGCUGCCACUAGCGCGCCUGCGCUAGUUUAGCGCGGCCGCGCCCUCCAGAAGUGUUCCGGGCCGAUUUUUACAGCUUUUCUGAUGGAUUUUCGCAGCGGACGAGGCCCGGUUGACUUAGUCAAAGCAUUUUAAUUUCUCAAGUGUAAAAACCCUAGCCUCGAAGUAGUUAGAAUAUCGGAGAACAAUAUCAUAGUUAGUUUUUUCUUUUGUAAUCAAGCACAUUAUCGGUUUUGUAUUGGAUCGUUCUUCGCGAGGAAGUGACAGUUUCGAGCGAGAUCGUGAACAUCAAUUCUAUAACGUUGUGAUCUUUAUUAUUAAUUCAAGCAAUUUUAUUCCGCUU